rnacentral:lncRNA from 1 species
CACCCUGGAUGCAGCCUGCUGGAUCACGCCAAACCUGGCAUAAGCUGACACUGCAAAGCUCCAAGGAGCAUCCGUCUGCAAAUGAGAUGUCCGUGGGGAGGAAGACAGAAAUUAGGAUGAGAAAUGCAAGGGAAGGGCAAAACUCUGAAGUCAAAAGAUUAACGCCUAUGCGGCUCUGAAGCUGCUCGCCAAGGCAGAACAACCUUCCUGGAGAUCCCGGC